AUGUCAAACAGUAAAAGAAAAGGCUUAAAAGGGAAAAAUGAAUCUGCUACUGCUGCACUGGGCCCUAGUGGCCACAGUGUAGCCCAGACGACCACUCCUCCUCCCUCCUCCCCUGUUCACCAGGUCAUGGUGGCCGGCUGCAGUGUGUCCACGACCAUGGAUGGCCACUCGUCGGCCAUCCGUCCUCCCCCACAUCGCUCAUUUGAGGCCCCCGAGCCCCCUCGUCGAACCCUAGGUUGCUAUUCCCCUCUCCCUCGCGUCUCCCUCUCUCGGUUUCUUCUCCACCCAAGCACCUCCAAUCGCCGCCGCCGUCGUCCACCGCGGUGA
rnacentral:rRNA from 1 species